rnacentral:lncRNA from 1 species
CUCAAUGUGGUUAUUUACUUAAAUGCAAAGUCUGCAUUAAUUUAUCUUGUUCUGAAUGGCCCCAUAUUUAUUAGUAAGGUGGAUUUGCAGGUUUUAACUUUUAAACCUCAAAUUCCUGCUUUUAAAUUCCCAUUUAGAAAGCUUCAAAAGAAUGACAAGUCACUUAGUGCAGUUACUAGAAUCAUUUUUGAGGACCCAUAAUCAGCAUCUACUUUGAAUAACAAUUGAAAGAGCUAAGAGGAAUUACUUCAUUCAUCUUCAAACAAGGCUACAUGGAAAGAGCAGAGGAAGACUGAGCAGUUCGUAGUGCACACACGAUACAUACCAAAGUAAGAUUGCAGUAUGCUACAUCUAGCACACUUAUUUAUGGCUCGCUAGCAGAAAACCAAAACACCAUCUAAGCAUAACAGGCUCACAAACUCGGUCUAGUUAUUACAACCAUGCAUGAGUAAAAUCAUGGACGAAUUGGUGCUGGAACACUGCCACCACCUCCAGGAAUGGGAACCUCAUAGCCAGGGUUAGGAACAAAGGUGUCAUCACCACCGGGAACAUAACUGCGUCCUGGUCGACCCGAUCCUGAUCCGGCUCCAGCUCCUGUUCCAGCUCUUCCAGCGCCACCAGUAAAUGGAUUCUGGGGUAUAAGCCCAUGCUUUGGUGGAAAUCCUACUGGUCCAACGCCUGGAAUGUACACUCUGCCAUCAUGCUUGAACAAGAACUCAGGCUCUUUCUUGUCCUGGGUGUUAGAGUUCAUGGCAAUGUUGCUUCGUCCAGCAACUGCGACAAGGAGGAUAUUGGAGAUGAGAAGGAGUGAGAGUAAAAGGGAAACUCUGUGAGCCAUUCUCUCUCAGAUAACAAGUGCAAAGAGGUUAUCAGUGAUGUGUAUUCUGGUAUUCAACAACUUUUGAGUUGAAGAAGCUAGAAGGGGGUGACUGCAUUAUAUAGUUCUAGAUUCUGCAGUAUUGAGUGAACUUUGGCGGUGAGUAAAGUGUUUCUUGAGGAAAUGUCGCUGGCAGGGUCGUGGUUCAUGAAUCAUGAUGCAUGCUAGUAAAUCAUUUGUUCAGCCUCAGUUUAUUAUUACCAUUUGUAGAAGAUAUUCACCAAAGUUGUAUCGGCUACUAAAUGCAGCCUUCACAUGGCUGAUUUAUGCACCGUAAUAUGUAGAAAUCUUGGGAUUGCUUCUACCUACAUUCUAGAUGUUUUAUUACUUUCACUUGCUAGUUGUUACUUGAGCAUUUUUUAAGCUGAAAGAGAAGUGGUAGUUAAUGCACUAUGUAGCGGCACUUUCAACAUGCCCUUUUCACACCGUAAAAUAUUUGUAGGCAUACCCAUUGUGCAGAUAUCCAACAGACAAGAUAUCCAGAGUGAGAAAGAAAGAAUUGAGAGAGAACUAACUAAUGUGAUAUACGAUGGAAUAAAAAGAUAGGAAGAGAAAUGAGAAAUCUGUUGGAUGUCUGUACUGUUUGUAUGUCUGACUAUCAUUCACAAUCCAGUGAAAAAGAACAAUUGUUUUUAAGGAAAACGUUACCAACACUCAUUUUUAACACUUUUUCAUUAAUGAUUGAAAUUAAUAUUGGUCCACUAAAAAUAUUGGUUCCCCAUCCAAUUCACAUAACUCAGAUUCUCUUCUUCAUUUUGCAUCUUCCUUCGUUUCCUGGGCUUGAACCAUCAUGGGCUUGGCCCAUUCACCAUUUAGCUGCCCCUUCCCUUGAACUCCACUAUAUUGGGAGUUCAAUUUUGUAUUUCCCACCACCUUAGAUCAUAUUUUGAAAUUGAAUUUAACGGUGCUCACUAGGGUGGGCACUUUGCAUUUUGGUCCACUGGUGGACUAGGGGAUAUUUUAGACUUUUUCGUUCCUUUCUUUCUCCCUUCCACUCUACCUUCCACACUACCUUGAGUACCAUCCUCAACAGAACAUGAAACGCCCUUUUACUCUGAUGAUUCUGAUUAUUAAGCUGCUUUAAUAUACUGGACAUUGAAAUUGAAAUUUCCAAUUUCCAUUACUUAUUAUUAUUUCUACUCCUCGAUCUCAAAUGAUUUCAAUCUCUGUAAUAUUUGUUUGUGUUAAAUUUCUAUAUAAACUAGAAAACAAAAGGAUCCAUGGAAAUGCAUGUUAGCUCACCCCUAUAUUAUAUCAAUUCUUCAGAUUUUUGUCAAACCCACACCCACACAUACAGAUCUGAAACAAAUGUAGUUUGCUCCUGAUUCUGGAAUUGGAUUGAUCGAUCCUUAUUUAAUUUCCGUUUUUUAACAGUGUUGCUGCUACUCCUCCUUUCAAGACCAGUGUUGAAAAUUGGUUCUGUCAAUCGAACCCAGAUCUGAAGAGUGGCGACACGGUGAACGCGUGGAUCGAGUUCGAUGGGUCCAUUCAGGGGUUGAAUGUUUGGGUCUCGUAUUCCAAUCUGAAACCGAAAGAUCCCAUUUUAUCGAUGAAUCUUGACAUGGGUCCGCUUCAACGCAUGAUAACAUGGAGACUCACCGGGUGGGUGGAGUGGUGGAGCUUCAACUCGUCAUUUGGUGGAACAGGUUUCUCAACAGCGUCGUCGCCGCCGCCGCUCCUUCUCCGGACCCGUCCGAAAAUACAUCGAAUGAGAUUUGGGAGCGGUUGAUGGGGUUGUCACUGCAGGGGCUUUCGUUUUGGCUCUGUUUGCAGGGUCGCUGUUUUGGGUUUAUUCUAAGAAGAUGAUGAAGCAAGUUAACCGUUCUGAUUCUCUUGGAUAACUGGUAUUAUGCAAGGCCAGCAAAGGCACACCCUCAAUGCACUUUCUCUGAACUAGUCACGCAAUACCCAUGACCAAAACAACCAGAAAAAAAGGGUCUUUUUACUUUUUUACCCUUUGAUCAUCCAUCAAAUCCUAGCCAUCUAAAUAAAGAAUAUUCCAAGAUUCUUAAAUCCAACGGUGUUUAAGUUUGGUCCACCGGUGGACCAAAAUGCAAAGUGCCCACCCUAGUGGGCACCGAGUUUAACUCCUACCUUAUCUCUAGAAACCCUAACAUGCGAAUUAUCAAGUGUGAUCUCCUUGUGGCUUCUUCUCACUUUGCUUAUCAAUCUUCUACAUGAUGAUUGUGGUUUAACCAUCCAUCACUCUUUUCUCCUUCCAUCUUUGUAUUUUCUUCUUCCAAAAAUUCAUCUCAUUUUCUAUUUCCUUUCUUUCUUUUCAUUUUUUUCCCACUUUUCUUCUACAUACCAAACAUACUUAUACAUGGUUUGUUUAUAAGGAAAAUGAGUGGAAUCAAAAGGGGAGGAAGAGAUUAUGAAUGGAAAAGUGUGUAUUCCAUGGUUGGGAUAAGUUGAAAAGGGUGGGGGAUGAAUAGAAAUAAUGUUUUGUUCAUAUUUCUUAUCAUCUCCAGCUUCAAUCUACAUUUGACAAUCCGGCAAAAAAUUUCUUGUCCAAAUUUUAAUUUCUAUAUUGGAUACAUUGAAUUGAAGUUUGCAAGUAACACUAAAACAAAACAUACACAAACAUUAUCGUUGUGUUUGCACUAACGCUCAAAAUAAACAACUUUCUUAACAGAGUGUAAGCAAAAUAUAUUAGGAACAAUUUUUUUCUCACUAGAAAACCGAAAAAGUAAAAAACAAAAAUGAGAUGGUCGAAAAGUGUAAGCAUAUAUGAUUGAAGUUGCAGGGCUCACAUCACAAAUAAUAACCGAAUCUCAUCAAUGAAUGUGAUGAGUUGAAGUUCAAGAAGACAGGUCACUCAAGUUGUCGUUGAAUGUUUAUAUCAUCAAAAACUAAUAAUAUAACUUGGAUAAAUUUUUUUUAAAAAAAUUAGUGCAAUUUAUUUAAUAUUCAUUUACAAGUGAAGAGCUUUGAUAUAUAUUUUUUAUCAUAAAUUCUUAUAUAUUAAAUUUUUAUAAUUUAUUCAUUUGUAUUUUAAAUAAUGAACUGAAUAGGGGAAAAGAACUCUUCCAUUUUAGAAUGUUACGGAAAGAACGCCAAAAUAUUUAAUAGUUUUAUUAAAUAAAAUCAAUACAUUUGACAUAAUUGACAUAAUAUAACUAAUAACGUUCCUUUUACGUUAGUCUUUUCCGAUUGGGCCCCCAUGCAGCUUUUUUAUGGCUUAUCAUCAUUUAUCAUGAUUCAGUUUACUUUACAUAAAGCUUUCAAUUAUACAUUUCCUUAAUAAGUAAUUUCCAGUUCAUGAUAAAAUGUUCUAGAUUUAGUUGGAGAUAUAUAUUUCAGUAGUAAUGGCACUCUAUCACCAAACAUUCAAAUUUGUUGGGAUUCAACAUUACCGGUAAAUCGUAUCCUUGCCAUUUUCCAUUUCAAAAAAAAUAAACAUUACCGGUAAGAAGAAGAGAAUGAAUAUUCCAUGAGCAUGGCAUACUAUAUAUAUAUAUAUGUUAAUUGUCAAAUUAUUCUUUGAAUUUAUAAGUGAGUUUGAUUUUAAACCCUCUUAGGAAAAAUGACGUUUAGUAACGGUCAAAAACCGUCAUUAAUUGUAAAAAUGACCACCCCUAAACGUUUUUUUCCUCAUAGAGACUAAACUAAAAUUAAACUCGCUUAUAAAGUCAGGGACUAAUUUGACCAUUAAUCAUAUAUAUAUAUAUGUGUGUGAGAGAGGGGGGGGGAAUCAACUUAGGGUCCGUUUUGAAACGAACCAAAAAGCACUUAUUCGAACUCUGCUCUCUGACAGUGACCAAAACCAAACUGGCUACAAUCGUGGGGAUGGGGACCAAGUUAUUUUCCGGGAAGAGACUAAAAUCAAAUUCUCUUACAAACAAGUGAUUAAUUUAAUGAUUAAACCUUAAUUUAAUUACUAAAAAAAUGAAUUAUUAAUCGCAAAAGUUUAAAAAUAAAAUUAUAUUAUUAUAAAUACAGUAUCCAACACAAACUUAGAAGGACUUUUAGGCUAAUGAAACAAUUUGUUCCUUCUACUUCUUCUGCAUUCAAACUCAAACAAUGGACUUUAGCUUACUUGCUGGAAUACUUUAGUGUUUGCUUGAUUUUCAAUUGAAAACCAUCCCCAAUUUAUGUUUAGCAAAGACAAGAAUUUUCCCUUGAAAAAUGUUGCAUUAUAUCUCAAGAUUACCUUUGCAAGAAUGCAAUCUGAUACAGAUAAACAUCUCAAUGCCUGUUAUCACCGCCUUGCAUUAUGCUGAAACACUUACAUUUUGUGACCUUAACUAAGCAUUAGUUUUCUACAAGUACUUUUAGUAAACAAAAGAGCAUCAAAAUGAUACCACUUCCACAAAAUUCUACUAUCUUGAAAUCACUGUUGCACCAGGUAUUAACAAUAAUCUAUCAUGAAUUUGGCCUUUCCUCAGAAAAUCUAGGAAGUUGAACAAGCGAGUUUACCCGAGUUACCCCCUCCAAACCUGACCAGUUUUGAUCAUCAGCGUAUGAUGUUGCAUCUUCAACAUCGACAGGUACUGCUCCAUUAGUCUCAUCUUCUUCCGAGGAUCUCACUGUGAAGUUCCUCUGCAAACAUGGCUCUGAUUUUUGUCCAUCAUCUGACUCAAUUGGGUUGCCUGAAUGGUUGCUCUGGAUGGUUGCAGAAGAAAAGCCUUGUUCAUCAUAAUCUGAUUCUGAGUCCAUUUUCCCAUCCAGAAAUAAGCACACAACAGCACAGUCAUCCAUCCUUGAAGUUGGAUAUUUAAGUUUCCACUCCCGAGCAGCGGAAUUUACCACUGUUCUAGCUGCUGAUGCUCGCGUUGGGGAUGAAGAUACAAUCUCAACCACCUCCUCAUUGCUUAAAACAUCCCAGACCUGAACAAAGCAUUAAGAGAAUCAAUAUCAUUCAGUGGAAGAUGGAAACUCAAAAGUCGAUAUCCUCUAAGUUACGUCCACUUCCCUUAUACUUGCACAUUCAAAGAACUUACUAUUUUCUUUUCCAUAUUAGAUAUUUCAAUGAAUAGCAUUAUUAUGUAGCGGAAAUGUUUUUCUACGUAGAUUGUAUAUAAACAAAGUUACUUUACAGCUCUUGUGCCUUUCAAAUGAACGAAUUGGUAUAUGACCAACAUUUUUUGCAACACCUUUCACGUAGAAAAUAUUUUCUGCGUAGAUUGUAUAUAAGCCAAGUUAAUUUACAGCUCUACAUGAAAGGUGUUGCAAAAAAUGUAGGUCAUAUAAUGUUCAUGCUAAAACAAACUUAUCCCACGAAUGAAAAGAAGAUAACUCUAUUUGGCAACCCAAAGAGAGGCUCUUUGUUUAUCUUCCGUUCAACUCCUGAAAAAUCAGAUAUCAGCACUUCACUCUUGUACCCCAAAAGAAAAAAAGAUAAGAAUAAUUCAAUAACAGGCCAGAAUGAGAAAGCUUGCAUUAUGAACAGAAUUUAUAUAUUUCUUCAUAUUGAAGAGAGCUUAUUGCUUAAGAAAUACCGCCGUCUGAGUUGUCAGAAUGCCAGCUAAUUUAACUGUAAUGGUGCAGAUUGACAAACAGCCCGAGAAGUUACUGGUUCAGUCAAAUUGCUAAACACUCUAUUUCCACUCAAUGGUUAGUUUCGAAAAGACACUUCUCAGUUUCCUUAUGACCAUAUGGUUCAUGCUAUGCUAGCCUAGAUAUUUGCCUACACUGACCACAUUUUCUUAUUUCAAUAUCACAGCUCGACCUUGUAAGAUGAUUUCUUCAAGGCAGCAACAAAGCCAUAUUAACCAACAGAAACCAACCUUGAAAUUGCAGAUCAUGUAUGCUAAAAUUUCCUAGUCGGACAGGGAUAAAAAUCAUAACACAAUUUCUGAAAUGGCAAAGCAUAAUUAAACAAAGUACUAAAGAAAUUGAUAUGACAUUGAAAAUUCUUAAUCUUACCCCAUCUGAGGCAAUUACAAUGAAUUGAUCUCUGUCUGUAAGUUGCCGGUGAGAAAAUUCUGGUAUGGAAAUCACACCAUACUCCUUCAAGCAGAAAUCUCCAAAUGCUCUAGCCAUUGCUAACCCUGGUGCAUCAUCAAAAGGCAACCACACCCUCGGCACUUCUGGCUCAUCUUGUAAAGCAAAUACCCUACCUUUGCAUCGCUUAAUUCUUUCUGCUUCCCCUAUAAGAGUUUCCAUCCAAGUUGGUGUCAAUAUCAACAGAAAAGCAUAUAUUCAACAGAGAAUAAAUGACGAUGGCAUAAGACAUACUUGGCAAAUCAGGCUUCAAAUCAACAGUCAACUGAACUGCCACCAUGGAGUCAUUGCUGUCCUUGGAUCCCAUGAUUGCUCGAGAAUCCCCGAUACUGGCCAUGAACAGAUUUGAACCCUGUUGAGAUAAGAAAUUAUAAAAACUCAAUGUGUUUGGAUGGGGAUUUAAUUGAGAGAAUAAAUUUGUUGAGGGGAUUUUACAUUGCUUAAUCCAAAAUACAGGAUAUCAAAUCAGAGUAUCUUGAAAAUUAAGGUAAUUUUAUAGGGUAAUUUCCUAACUCAAAAUAAAAGAUUUAAAAUUCCAUCCUUUUUAGAAGGAAUUUUUGAAAAUCCCUUCCCUCAAACUCUCCUCCUUUACCCCUCACCCUCAACCUAUCAAAUAUUCUCCACCAAAUUUCUUAAUUCCUGACAAAAGACUCAAAAAAUGACAAUAAUCAAAAUAAACCAAGUUAUUAUUUUCUUGAAAUUUUGAAUUGUACAUCCAAACACAGUAAAGUUAUGGAAAACAAGAGUUCAGAUCUGCUACCUGCUUUAUUAUAGUCACGGCUGUGCUCCCACUACAGAAGCAGUCUAGAUUUGGAUGAGACCUGAGUUCUU